UGGUAGCUCAAUGGUGGAGCAUUCGGCUGUUAACCGAAGGGUUGAAGGUUCGAAUCCUUUCC
rnacentral:tRNA from 1 species